UACGUAGGGUGCAAGCGUUGUCCGGAAUUAUUGGGCGUAAAGAGCUCGUAGGCGGUUCGUCGCGUCGGCUGUGAAAUCCCGAGGCUCAACCUCGGGUCUGCAGUCGAUACGGGCGGACUGGAGUUCGGCAGGGAGACUGGAAUUCCUGGUGUAGCGGUGAAAUGCGCAGAUAUCAGGAGGAACACCCGUGGCGAAGGCGGCACUCUGGGCCGGAACUGACGCUGAGGAGCGAAAGCGUGGGAGCGAACAGG
rnacentral:rRNA from 1 species